GAGAAGAACGUAGCAAAAUGCGAUAAGUAAUGUGAAUUGCAGAAUUCAGUGAAUCAUCGAAUCUUUGAACGCACAUUGCGCCCGCCAGUAUUCUGGCGGGCAUGCCUGUUCGAGCGUCAUUUCAACCCUCAAGCACAGCUUGGUGUUGGGACUCGCGUUAAUUCGCGUUCCCCAAAUUGAUUGGCGGUCACGUCGAGCUUCCAUAGCGUAGUAGUAAAACCCUCGUUACUGGUAAUCGUCGCGGCCACGCCGUUAAACCCCAUCUUCUGAAUGUUGACCUCGGAUCAGGUAGGAAUACCCGCUGAACUUAAGCAUAUCAAUAAGCGGAGGA
rnacentral:misc_RNA from 1 species